rnacentral:rRNA from 1 species
UGGGGAAUAUUGCACAAUGGGCGAAAGCCUGAUGCAGCGACGCCGCGUGAGGGAUGACGGCCUUCGGGUUGUAAACCUCUUUCAGCAGGGACGAAGCGCAAGUGACGGUACCUGCAGAAGAAGCACCGGCUAACUACGUGCCAGCAGCCGCGGUAAUACGUAGGGUGCAAGCGUUGUCCGGAAUUACUGGGCGUAAAGAGUUCGUAGGCGGUUUGUCGCGUCGUUUGUGAAAACCAGCAGCUCAACUGCUGGCUUGCAGGCGAUACGGGCAGACUUGAGUACUGGAGGGGAGACUGGAAUUCCGGGUGUAGCGGUGAAAUGCGCAGAUAUCAGGAGGAACACCGGUGGCGAAGGCGGGUCUCUGGGCAGUAACUGACGCUGAGGAACGAAAGCGUGGGUAGCAAACAGG